GCCGUCAUUGUGUAGUGGUCAACACGUUCGGUGCGUAUUCGAAAGGUCCGUGGUUCAAGUCCCGGAGAGGGCA
rnacentral:tRNA from 1 species